AUUGAACGCUGGCGGAAGGCCUAACACAUGCAAGUCGAGCGGAGUGGCGGACGGGUGAGUAAUGCCUAGGAAUCUGCCUGGUAGUGGGGGAUAACGUCCGGAAACGGGCGCUAAUACCGCAUACUAUAAGAUGAGACUAGGUCGGAUUAGCUAGUUGGUGGGGUAGAGGCCUACCAAGGCGACGCUCCGUAACUGGUCUGAGCGGAUGAUCAGUCACACUGGAACUGAGACACGGUCCAGACUCCUACGGGAGGCCGCAGUGGGGAAUAUUGGACAAUGGGCGAAAGCCUGAUCCCGCCAUGCCGCGUGUGUGAAGAAGGUCUUCGGAUUUUAAAGCACUUUAAGUUGGGAGGCGUUACCAACAGAAUAAGCACCGGCUAACUUCGUGCCAGCCGCCGCGGUAAUUC
rnacentral:rRNA from 1 species